rnacentral:lncRNA from 1 species
GUGUUUUACCCCCUGUAAUAUAGGUCAUUUUCAGUUUUAUCCUCUGUAAAAUAUUUUUUUUGGAUUUCGUCCUUGUAAUUUGAAUAUUUUUUGUUUUGGACCUUCAUGAAUUUUGACUGUACAAAAUCGAAGAUAUAGCAGGGGGUAAACCAAAAUUUGCUAAAAUUAAUAGGGGGUAAAUCGAAAUUUGCUCAAAUUACAAGGGGGUAAACCUAAAUUUUCUCAAAUUACAUGGGGUGAAAUUUUUCAUGAAGGUCCAAAACCAAAAAAUCUUCAUAUUACAAUGAUGAAAUUCAAAAAAAUUAUUUUACA